UCUCUCAUUACUCAUUUAGAUCCUAGCAGUGUUUUGCACCUAGUCUAUAUGUCAACUUGUUGCUCUUUUUUACAGGCAGAAGGAAUUUUUAAAUUUCCCAUCGGAUGUUCAGGGGUGGUGGAGUCAUCCAUAGAGGCUUCUGUUCAUAGAGGCAUAUCCAGCGAAAAUGCCGAGACAACUUUCGUAGUGGAAGGGGACCUGAGUCAAAGAAAGCACCCCAAGCUCUAUGAGAGUUACCUGGUGGUGUUCCGUGCGGAGGAAGGGAAAUGUAUGCCCGGCCGGGGUUUAUCAAACAGAAGAUGAUUUCAGUCGGAAUGAUUUGGACCAUACCCACGAACCUAGCCCAAACGAACGACCCCGCGUCCUUCUCAACAGGGCAGUUUCGAAGCGCGGGUUGGAAAAUCCAUACAUGGCAUGUGGAGUCAUUAAUUACGAAAGCGGCAAGGCGAGACAUGGCCAACCCGCCUUCUAUAAUAUUCACUAAUGAAGGAACAUUGAAGAGGUUCUGCAAUAGAAAAAGACAGGGAAACAGACCCACAGAUCCAUCAGACAUUGAUGAGUUGAAAAUAGAUUAUUUACCUAUUGAUUUUUUAUUAAAAGAUAUCAGAAUCGAGGGAGCGCG